rnacentral:rRNA from 1 species
UACGUAGGUGGCAAGCGUUGUCCGGAUUUAUUGGGUUUAAAGGGUGCGUAGGCGGUCUUGUAAGUCAGUUCUGAAAUAUCCCGGCUUAACCGGGAGGGUGGGAUUGAUACUGCAGGACUUGAGUGGAGUCGAGGUAGGCGGAAUUGACGGUGUAGCGGUGAAAUGCUUAGAUAUCGUCAAGAACACCGAUAGUGUAGACAGCUUACUAGUCUCAAACUGACGCUGAGGCACGAAAGUGUGGGGAUCAAAC